AUGGUGAUUUUCCGGGUGCAAGGGCUUGACAGCGAAAGUCAGCUUUUUAUUAAAGACAAAGAGGGCUCCCGAGCUUUUCAGUGCGAGUGGGAGGAGAAAAGGGCAGGAAGUGUUGACGGCGAAGGGGGUGAAAUCGUGCCUCUGGGUGAGACAUUCUGCCCCGGGAAUAAACGAUGGGGAGGAAAAAAAAAAAAAAAUCUUGGAAAAGGAGGAUUGGGAUCUGUGUCUGGAAGCCCGCUAUCCGAUGGGAACCAACUCCGCGCGCGUCUCCUCCUCCCCUUUAUUGUAGGGCUUUAUGGGUCUAUCCUCCCGGACUGUUGUUUGGAAGGGGCGGGGUGGGGGGGUGGCGGCGGGUGGGCAGGGAGUGAGUAUUAAAGAGGACAAUCUGGCCCUGGAUCUUCUACACCGCGCCUUCUCCACCGGAUGCGCGCUCCCCAAUGCAAAGGAAUCCAGCAACAUCCCCCAAUUCAGACGCGGACAAAAGAAACUUUAAUUAAGGUCCCUGCCCCGCGCGCCGUGUGUUUCUCCCGACGCUUGGUGAUGUCCAACUCGAGGAAGCGAGAAAUAGAAAUGGUACAACCAGCCCGUGCCCUUGAACUUCAAUUGCUCCUGACUUGCUGUAUUGAUUUUUUUUUUUUUUUUAUAGUGUAGGCACAGACCGUCCCCCUCCCCACCCCGCCCCACUCCAUCAAAUUAGAGCCUUAGGAGAGACGUGCGACCUGGUGGUGGAGGAUGAGGGGCGGGGAGGGGGGGAACCCAUCCCUUUGCAAAAGAGAUAGUUCAGAACGAUUUGGGGGAAAAUUACACCAAAUAAAAAUUCAAGGUGUGAAAGCUUCAUCUUGGUUCUCUUGUCUUCAACACCAUGACACCUUAUCAUUAGAAGCGCUGAUUGUUACUUUCCGAGCCUUUAGAUGAUCAGCCAGAAAGUGCAAACAACGCGGGGCUGGAGGGUGUAAAGUUAUUUAAGUAGGCUCUUUUUUUUUUUUUUUUUUUCCUUUUGGUGCGCCGUCAAAACAUUUCACAAGUUGGGAAAAUAAAGUGGUGGUUCCGAAGCUCGGAAUGAUGGGUUCUUUCCCUACCCCCCCAGCCCCCCCCACCCCUUUCCAUAUCAGAAAAGAAAUAAAAUGCACAAUGCGCCUUUAUUUCGGGGGAGAAGACUUCAAAAUACGUGCCAGUAAUGGACAAUUUGAGCUUUUCACUGGAGAUACUCACACCGCAGGCUGGAAAGGGAUUAAAAAGCCCCACGUGGUUGAUCUGGGUUUAGACUUGCAACCUCUAGUUCCCCGUGUUAUGUUCUCUGC
rnacentral:lncRNA from 1 species